rnacentral:lncRNA from 8 species
AGAUUACAGUGCUGCACUGAUUGUGUUGUUCUUUCAGGGAUGGAUUUCUCAGGUCCUGAGAUCAAAACUGCCUUCUCAGAAGGAGAACAGUGUUAUUGUGACUCCAGGGAGCUGCUGGCCACUGUGUCUGAGCUGAAGCAUGCACACCGUAGAAUGAGUAAGCAGAACAACAGCCUGUUGAGGACUGUAUCUCAGUGUGAGGACACCAACCUGCAGCUCACAGUGGAAAUCACUGAACUAAGUGCCAAGCUGGCCAGGUACUGUCUGUGAGAAUGGAGCAAUAUGUUGUUUUCAUUAUUGCAAGGCAUGGUAGUUCUGAUGAUUUACUGUUGUAAAACUGUCUGUGUGACAUCUCCAGUGCCCAGCGCUCAGCAAGGAGAACCAGGUCCCUUGUAGAUGAGCUGGAGGAGGCCAGGAGAGCCCUGAGGGAGGCAAAGGAGAGAGCCAGCCAAGCCCAGGCUAGCAGCUGCAAACUGGUACUGCACUCAGCUCUUAGCAGGAAAUGACAUAUAAGGAAAUGACAUACAAAUGGCUUAGGCCAGAGUGUGGAUGAUUUUAUUGGAAUGUAUACAUUUCCAUGUACAUUGCACCUUUUUUCAAUUUUAGACCAAAGAAUGUGACUGUCUGAAAGCACACAUUAAAGUGCUUGAAGACAAGGUAACUUUGAUCUUUAUUAUUAUUUUAUAAUGUAUGUACAAUGUUUGUGAUGCCACAUACGGUACAUUAUAUGUCUGUGACACAAUCCCUUUAAUAUCUGCAGAAUGAACAACUCACACUCGAGGGGACUUGUUCUGAAGAUUGUCUCAACAAAUUGAGGAUGGUUAAUGCUGAGAUGAGGGUAAGAACUGUUGGCCAGAACAUCUCUGUCUGUCACUGAGCUAAGAGUGCAGUAAUAGAGAUCCUCUAAUUUGUUUUGCAGGAGGAACUUGAAAAUACCCUUGUCAUGCUGGCUAUAAGAGACAGGGAACUCACUAAGGUUAGUAUACCAUACCUUCACACAUAGACGGUUCAUUCUCUGUUUUACAAUGACUGCAUUUGUUGAUAUUUUUUUUUUUCCUGUUCAUUUCCAGAAAGACAUACUGAUGGAUAAGCUGAAGAACUCUCAUCUGGAGAACCAUAGAAUCAUUGAGGUAUCUUCAUAAUAACAUUCAUCAUCUCAAGUGCCUGUAGUUAUGCCUGUGUGCUAGCAGAAAGUAGCUCUGAUUGUUUUUUUCCUGUCAUUGAAGGGGCUACAGUCAGAGUUUCUGCAUUUAUCAGAGCAUUCCCAGCAAGCUCUUUUGAGGUAAGUGCUGUCGAUCAUUUCUAUGUCCAUAUGCUACUCGUCAUUGUUUUUGUUACCAACAUCUCACCCAACAGCUGUUCAGGUGACAUAUUUGUUGGAGCUCAUUCGUUACUGAGAAUGUAUGUGACUGACAUCAUCACAAUGGGACAUGCUAGGGGUCAGUGGGGUCAGUGUGUUUAACCUGGUGGUGUGCUGCUGUAAUUCAUAGGUUUGACAUGCACUGUGGCAGUCCACCAGGUUUCCAGGGAAGGAGUGGAGUUGUUCCUAAUCAUCGCUCUUUGCAUGCUGAGAUCCAGGACAUUCAGCAGGUGACAAAGGCUUUAGUUCUGCAGUUGGUUAUCAAAAGCUCUAUCGCGUUACUAUAGGUUUAUUA